UAUCCGAUCCUAGCAGCUUCUCAUAAAAAAUCAGACCCUGGUGGAUCCUUUGCAAGCAGAACUAGGGAGAAAAGAAAGCAAUGAAAGAGGACACCCUCUUCCUACUCCAUUCACUGAAGACUCACCCAGUUUCUUACUAUUUUCAGACACAACUUCUGGUUUACCAUGGUACCCAGCCAUGUUCUCAGUCCCCUCUCCUUCAUUGCCCAGCCACAUCCCAGUGGUACCUGACUGUUGUCCCUGAGUCCUUGGGGGUCACAGCCAUCUCCACACUGGAUAUGGGGAACAUCAUUUGUAGUCUCUUCAUCUCCCUCUUCUCUUAGAUCCUGGAAUGAAGGAAGAGGUGGAAAGAAUGAAGAAGUAAGAUAGUACUUCUGAAGCCAACCUGGACCCUCAGGCCCAUGACUCUCCCAGGAACCCUACUCUCUUGUCCUCUCUUACUCCCUAAUGGCCUUCAACCCUCCAGCUUCCACUCAAGGUCACGGUCUUCUGCCACAGCCUUGGAGAGCCUGGACUCCUGUUAGGCUCCAGGGGCUGCCACUCACCAUGUGUCCCACUAGUGGAUGUGCACUCCAGGCCAGUGUGCAGAGCUUCUGUGAAAGCUGCUGGCACUGAGUCCAGGCAGGGCUGCUGCCCCCAGGCACAGCUCUGCCCUG
rnacentral:lncRNA from 1 species